rnacentral:tRNA from 1 species
GGGCUCGUGGUCUAGUGGUAUGACGUCGCCUUGACACGGCGGAGGUCUCGAGUUCGAGUCUCGACGAGCCCA